rnacentral:rRNA from 1 species
UUGUAAUUUGUAGAAGGUGCUUCGGAUGCAAUAUUGGCACAAGUCCCUUGGAAUUGGGCGUCAUAGAGGGUGACAAUCCCGUUUUGGCCGCUAUAUUCAUCCAUGUGAAGUCCUUUCGACGAGUCGAGUUGUUUGGGAAUGCAGCUCAAAAUGGGUGGUAGAUUUCAUCUAAAGCUAAAUAUCAGCCAGAGACCGAUAGCGCACAAGUAGAGUGAUCGAAAGAUGAAAAGCACUUUGAAAAGAGAGUUAAACAGCACGUGAAAUUGUUGAAAGGGAAGCGCUUGCAACCAGACUUGCUUGCAAUAUUCAGCCUCCUGAAAAGGUGGUGCAUUUGUUGCUUGCAGGCCAGCAUCGGUUUCGACGGUUGGAUAAAAGCUAAAGGAAAGUAGCUUUGGUAACAAAGUGUUAUAGCCUAAGCAUAAUGCAACCUGUCGGGCCCGAGGAAUGCGCUUUUGCGAGGAUGUUGGCAUAAUGGUUGUUAGCGACCCGUCUUGAAACACGGACCAAGGAGUCGACCAAUCAAGCGAGCGUUAGGGUGUAAAACCCACAGCGCGUAAUGAAAGUAAACGUAGGUGGGAAGCUUUUAGCAGCACCAUCGACCGAUCCAAGUUCGCGAGGAUUUGAGUAUGAGUUUCAUUGGUCGGACCCGAAAGUCAGUAGCACCUUUCCCCCCUCGUCUUUAAUCUACUUACUAACAAUUUCUUUUAGGAAGGUGAACUAUUCCCGAAUAGGUUGAAGUCAGGUGAAAACCUGAUGGAAGACCGCAGCGGUUCUGACGUGCAAAUCGAUCGUCAAAUUUAGGAAUAGGGGCGAAAGACUAAUCGAACCUUCUAGUAGCUGGUUCCUGUCGAAGUUUCCCUCAGGAUAGCAGCAACGAUAAACAGUCUCAUGAGGUAGAGCAACGAUUAGAGGCCUUGGGGUUGAAACAACCUUAACCUAUUCUCGAACUCCGAAUAUGUGAGAAGUCCUUGUUACUUAAUUGAA